UGAUUUGUUAGGCAGAGGCUCCUAUACAAACACAGGCUACUGCCCAGGAACGUCUAGAGACGCCAACGGGUAUAACAGAAAUUUUCGAUGUAAGGAAUUUUUUAACGUAGCUAACAUGUAUAUGUUUACGUUGUAUAGUGCUGAAACUCCACGAAA
rnacentral:sRNA from 1 species